AUGGCAAGAAGAUAUUGGAACAUUAAUUUGAAAGAGAUGAUAGAAGCAGGAGUUCAUUUUGGUCAUGGUAUUAAGAAAUGGAAUCCUAAAAUGGCCCCUUACAUUUCGGCAAAGCGCAAAGGUACUCAUAUUAUAAAUCUUGCCAAGUCAGGGAAAAAGUUUCUUAAUUGUUGGUACCAAAAAAAGAGCAACAGAUUUAGUAGCAUCAGCUGCAAUAAGGGCUCGUUGUCAUUAUGUUAA
rnacentral:rRNA from 1 species